AGUGGAAAACAAGGGCUAGAGAAGAGAGGAUGAGAGUGUUGCAACCGUAUCUUGAGCUGCAGCAGCACAAAAGAAUGAGAGCUUUGCAGUGCACUCCCCCUUGUGGUGAAAGCUUCAAAGAAUGAAGAAGCAACAGCCAAGUCCUGGUGAAGCAGAGAGAAAUGGCAGAUUCAACAGCCAAAACAUGGAAUGCCACAGCAGUUCAACAAAAUGCCGGCUUUCUAGAAGCCCUGAGGACUCCAUCCAAAAGCUCCUGUGCAUGGAAACCACAGAAGCCAUGGUCCUAGCAGCCGAGUAUGCCACAUCUUGUGCAGCCUGCGGUGAAGUUCUCACUACAGAUUUCUCCUCAUAAACUAAAGUGGAGAACUCCUGUCUAGCGCUGUCUGGCAACAUGUCCCUAAACUUUAACACCGAGCCCCAAACAUUAAAAUCAUAAUGUCCCA